rnacentral:rRNA from 1 species
AUUAUUAAAGGGCCGCGGUAUUCCUGACCGUGCGAAGGUAGCAUAAUCAUUAGUCUUUUAAUUGAAGGCUUGUAUGAAAGGUUGGACGAAAAAUGGACUGUUUCAAAUAAAAAGAUUGAAUUUAACUUUUAAGUGAAAAGGCUUAAAUAAAUUAAAAAGACGAUAAGACCCUAUAAAUCUUUACAUUUGUUAUUAUAGGUUUUGGAUUGUGUGUGUAAAAAAAAAUAUAAUAAAAAUGUUGUGUUGGGGCAACAGUGAUAUAGUAAUAUUAAUUGUUAAAAAUAAAAACAAAUAUAUUUGUUAAAUAAAGAUCCUUUUUAAAGAUUUAAAGAUUAAGUUACUUUAGGGAUAACAGCGUUAUUUUUUCUGAGAGUUCUUAUCGAAGAAAAAGAUUGCGACCUCGAUGUUGAAUUAAAAAUUCUUUUUAAUGCAGCAGUUAAAAAAGAAAGUCUGUUCGACUUUUAAAUUUUUACAUGAUUUGAGUUCAGACCGGCGUGA